rnacentral:rRNA from 1 species
GAUGAACGCUGGCGGCAUGCCUAAUACAUGCAAGUCGAACGAGAGGAAGGAAAGCUUGCUUUUCUGAAUCUAGUGGCGAACGGGUGAGUAACACGUAGGUAACCUGCCCAUGUGCCCGGGAUAACUUCUGGAAACGGAUGCUAAAACCGGAUAGGUAGCAGACAAGCAUUUAACUGCUAUUAAAGUGGCUAAGGCCAUGAACAUGGAUGGACCUGCGGUGCAUUAGCUAGUUGGUGAGGUAACGGCCCACCAAGGCGACGAUGCAUAGCCGGCCUGAGAGGGCGGACGGCCACAUUGGGACUGAGACACGGCCCAAACUCCUACGGGAGGCAGCAGUAGGGAAUUUUCGUCAAUGGGGGGAACCCUGAACGAGCAAUGCCGCGUGAGUGAGGAAGGUCUUCGGAUCGUAAAAGCUCUGUUCUUGAGGACGAAUAAAGCCAGGGAGUGGAAAGCCCUGGUGAUGACUGUACUCAAGGAGAAAGCUCCGGCUAACUACGUGCC